GACGAACGCUGGCGGCGUGCUUAACACAUGCAAGUCGAGCGGUAAGGCCCCUUCGGGGGUACACGAGCGGCGAACGGGUGAGUAACACGUGAGCAAUCUGCCCAUCACAUCGGGAUAACUCCGGGAAACCGAAGCUAAUACCGAAUACGACCACCUCCGGCAUCGGAUGGUGGUGGAAAGUUCCGGCGGUGAUGGAUGAGCUCGCGGCCUAUCAGCUUGUUGGUGGGGUAACGGCCCACCAAGGCUUCGACGGGUAGCCGGCCUGAGAGGGUGACCGGCCACACUGGGACUGAGACACGGCCCAGACUCCUACGGGAGGCAGCAGUGGGGAAUAUUGGACAAUGGGCGAAAGCCUGAUCCAGCAACGCCGCGUGAGGGAUGACGGCCUUCGGGUGGUAAACCUCUUUCAGCAGGGACGAAGCGCAAGUGACGGUACCUGCAGAAGAAGCACCGGCCAACUACGU
rnacentral:rRNA from 1 species